rnacentral:pre_miRNA from 1 species
UUUCUACUCUCUCAGUCCCAAAAUUCUUGUCUUAGAUUUGCCUAGAUACGGAUGUAUCUAAUACUAAAAGGUGACUUGAUACAUCCGUAUUUAGACAAAUCUAAAACAAGAAUUUUGGGACGGAGGGAGUACUAA